GACGAACGCUGGCGGCGUGCUUAACACAUGCAAGUCGAACGAAGUGGCGAACGGGUGAGUAACGCGUAAUCAACCUGCCCUUCAGAGGGGGACAACAGUUGGAAACGACUGCUAAUACCUCAUACUGAAGGAGGGGAUUGCGUCUGAUUAGCUAGUUGGGGGGGUAACGGCCCACCAAGGCGAUGAUCAGUAGCCGGGCUGAGAGGAUGAACGGCCAAAUGGGGACUGGGACACGGGCCAGACUCCUACGGGAGGGAGCCGGGGGGAAACUUCCGGAAUGGGCGAAAGUCUGACGGAGCAAAGCCGGGUGGGUGAUGACGGCCUUCGGGUUGUAAAGCUCUGUUAAUCGGGACGCGGUACCGGAAUAGAAAGCAACGGCUAACUACGUGCCAGCAGCCGCGGUAAUAC
rnacentral:rRNA from 1 species